rnacentral:rRNA from 2 species
AGACGCUGAAGAGAGGAGCUUGCUCUUCUUGGAUGAGUUGCGAACGGGUGAGUAACGCGUAGGUAACCUGCCUUGUAGCGGGGGAUAACUAUUGGAAACGAUAGCUAAUACCGCAUAACAAUGGAUGACACAUGUCAUUUAUUUGAAAGGGGCAAUUGCUCCACUACAAGAUGGACCUGCGUUGUAUUAGCUAGUAGGUGAGGUAACGGCUCACCUAGGCGACGAUACAUAGCCGACCUGAGAGGGUGAUCGGCCACACUGGGACUGAGACACGGCCCAGACUCCUACGGGAGGCAGCAGUAGGGAAUCUUCGGCAAUGGGGGCAACCCUGACCGAGCAACGCCGCGUGAGUGAAGAAGGUUUUCGGAUCGUAAAGCUCUGUUGUAAGUCAAGAACGAGUGUGAGAGUGGAAAGUUCACACUGUGACGGUAGCUUACCAGAAAGGGACGGCUAACUACGUGCCAGCAGCCGCGGUAAUACGUAGGUCCCGAGCGUUGUCCGGAUUUAUUGGGCGUAAAGCGAGCGCAGGCGGUUUGAUAAGUCUGAAGUUAAAGGCUGUGGCUCAACCAUAGUUCGCUUUGGAAACUGUCAAACUUGAGUGCAGAAGGGGAGAGUGGAAUUCCAUGUGUAGCGGUGAAAUGCGUAGAUAUAUGGAGGAACACCGGUGGCGAAAGCGGCUCUCUGGUCUGUAACUGACGCUGAGGCUCGAAAGCGUGGGGAGCGAACAGGAUUAGAUACCCUGGUAGUCCACGCCGUAAACGAUGAGUGCUAGGUGUUGGAUCCUUUCCGGGAUUCAGUGCCGCAGCUAACGCAUUAAGCACUCCGCCUGGGGAGUACGACCGCAAGGUUGAAACUCAAAGGAAUUGACGGGGGCCCGCACAAGCGGUGGAGCAUGUGGUUUAAUUCGAAGCAACGCGAAGAACCUUACCAGGUCUUGACAUCCCGAUGCUAUUUCUAGAGAUAGAAAGUUACUUCGGUACAUCGGUGACAGGUGGUGCAUGGUUGUCGUCAGCUCGUGUCGUGAGAUGUUGGGUUAAGUCCCGCAACGAGCGCAACCCCUAUUGUUAGUUGCCAUCAUUCAGUUGGGCACUCUAGCGAGACUGCCGGUAAUAAACCGGAGGAAGGUGGGGAUGACGUCAAAUCAUCAUGCCCCUUAUGACCUGGGCUACACACGUGCUACAAUGGUUGGUACAACGAGUUGCGAGUCGGUGACGGCAAGCUAAUCUCUUAAAGCCAAUCUCAGUUCGGAUUGUAGGCUGCAACUCGCCUACAUGAAGUCGGAAUCGCUAGUAAUCGCGGAUCAGCACGCCGCGGUGAAUACGUUCCCGGGCCUUGUACACACCGCCCGUCACACCACGAGAGUUUGUAACACCCGAAGUCGGUGAGGUAACCUUUGGAGCCAGCCG